UUGGAGGGCAAGUCUGGUGCCAGCAGCCGCGGUAAUUCCAGCUCCAAUAGCGUAUAUUAAAGUUGUUGCAGUUAAAAAGCUCGUAGUUGAAUUUCGGGGUCAAUCUAUCGGUCGUGCAUUAGUACGUACUGAUUUUAUUGAUUCCUCCCUUCUGAUGAACUAUGAUGUCAUUAAUUUGGUGUCAUAGGGAAUCAGGACUGUUACUUUGAAAAAAUUAGAGUGUUUAAAGCAGGCUCACGCUUGAAUACAUUAGCAUGGAAUAACGAAAUAGGACGUUUGAUUCUAUUUUGUUGGUUUCUAGGAUCGACGUAAUGAUUAAUAGGGAUAGUUGGGGGCAUUAGUAUUCAAUUGUCAGAGGUGAAAUUCUUGGAUUUAUUGAAGACUAACUACUGCGAAAGCAUUUGCCAAGGAUGUUUUCAUUAAUCAAGAACGAAAGUUAGGGGAUCGAAGACGAUCAGAUACCGUCGUAGUCUUAACCAUAAACUAUGCCGACUAGGGAUCGGAUGAUGUUAAUUUUUUAAUGACUCAUUCGGCGCCUUACGGGAAA
rnacentral:rRNA from 1 species